rnacentral:rRNA from 1 species
CGGCGGACGGGUAAGUAACGCGUGGGGAACCUGCCCUUAAGUUCGGGAUACCAACUCGAAAGGGUUGUUAAUACCGGAUGUGCUGCAUUAGCCGCAUGGCGGAUGUAGUAAAGGGGAGACCCGCUUAAGGAUGGCCCUGCGUUCCAUUAGCUAGUUGGUGGGGUAACGGCCUACCAAGGCGACGAUGGAUAGCCGGCCUGAGAGGGCGACCGGCCACACUGGGACUGAGACACGGCCCAGACUCCUACGGGGGGCAGCAGUGGGGAAUCUUGCACAAUGGGCGGAAGCCUGAUGCAGCGACGCCGCGUGAGGGACGAAGGUCUUCGGAUCGUAAACCUCUGUCCAAAGGGACGAAGGAGUGACGGUACCUUUGGAGGAAGCCCCGGCCAACUACGUGCCAGCAGCCGCGGUAAGACGUAGGGGGCGAGCGUUGUCCGGAAUCAUUGGGCGUA